rnacentral:rRNA from 1 species
GCCUGCCCAGUGACUAAUGUUCAACGGCCGCGGUAUCCUAACCGUGCGAAGGUAGCGUAAUCACUUGUUCUUUAAAUGGGGACUAGUAUGAAUGGCACCACGAGGGUUUUACUGUCUCCUUUCUCUGAUCAGUGAAACUAAUCUCCCCGUGAAGAAGCGGGGAUACAACUAUAAGACGAGAAGACCCUAUGGAGCUUUAAAUCUCUUUUCAAACGCUAAAUCACUUAUUCAAGUCUAAGACUUACCCCACAUUUACCUAAGCGCCAUGAAAAUGAUUUUAGGUUGGGGUGACCGCGGAGCACAAAAAAACCUCCACGCUGAACUAGACGUCCAAACCUUGAGCUAAGAGCUACAACUCAACGCACUAAAAAAUUAACACCAAUUGACCCAAUAUUUAUUUGAUCAACGAACCAAGUUACCCUAGGGAUAACAGCGCAAUCCAUUUCAAGAGUCCAUAUCGACAGAUGGGUUUACGACCUCGAUGUUGGAUCAGGGUCUCCCAGUGGUGCAGCCGCUACUAAUGGUUCGUUUGUUCAACGAUUAAAACCCU